rnacentral:rRNA from 1 species
AUUGAACGCUGGCGGCAGGCCUAACACAUGCAAGUCGAGCGAGCGGCGGACGGGUGAGUAAUGUAUGGGGACUGCCCGAUAGAGGGGGAUAACUACUGGAAAAGGUAGCUAAUAUCCCAUACUAUCGGAUAACCCAUAUGGGAUUAGCUAGUUGGUGAGGUAAUGGCUCACCAAGGCGACGAUCCCUAGCUGGUCUGCGAGGAUGAUCAGCCACACUGGGACGAAGACACGGCCCAGACUCCUCCGGAGGCAGCAGUUGGGAAUAUUGCACAAUGGGCGCAAGCCUGAUGCAGCCAGGCCGCGUGUAUGAAGAAGGCCCUAGGGUUGUAAACCUCUUUCGCUAUCGAACGGUUAGGUGGAGAAGAAGCGCCGGCUAACUACGUGCCAGCAGCCGCGGUAAUAC